CCCUUAGAUGUUCUGGGCCGCACGCGCGCUACACUGAUACAAGCAGCAAGUUGUUUCCCUGACCGAAAGGUUUGGGUAAUCUUGUGAAAUUGUAUCGUGAUAGGGCUUGACGAUUGUAAUUAUUUGUCACAAACGAGGAAUUCCUAGUAAGCGCAAGUCAUCAACUUGCACUGAUUACGUCCCUGCCCUUUGUACACACCGCCCGUCGCUCCUACCGAUUGAAUGUUAAGGCGAACACUCCGGAAUCGUGGCCUCGAUUGGGCAACCUUUCUUGGCCAAUCGAUGAAGUUGUGUAAGCCUUGACAUUUAGAGGAAGGAAAANUCGUANCA
rnacentral:rRNA from 1 species